rnacentral:rRNA from 1 species
AGCGCAGGCGGUUUUUUAAGUCUGAUGUGAAAGCCUUCGGCUCAACCGAAGAAGUGCAUCGGAAACUGGAAAACUUGAGUGCAGAAGAGGACAGUGGAACUCCAUGUGUAGCGGUGAAAUGCGUAGAUAUAUGGAAGAACACCAGUGGCGAAGGCGGCUGUCUGGUCUGUAACUGACGCUGAGGCUCGAAAGUAUGGGUAGCAAACA